AUUAUACUUCCUCCAUCCAAAAAUACUUGUCCUAAGGAUGAAUGGAUCUAGACUUAUUUUAGUUAUAGAUACGCCCAUUAUAUCCAUUUUUAGGACAAGUAUUUCCGGACGAAGGGAGUAUAUA
rnacentral:pre_miRNA from 1 species